GUUAUAAAAUUAAAUUUUUUCUAAACUUCAAAUACCAUCUUGGUGAUUUUAUACUUUCUAACUUUAGUAUCCCGUGAUGUAAAAUAUAUCAAUUUAGGCUGCGUUUGGUUCGUUUUUUUUUCAUCCUGGAAUCCGAAUCGGAAUGGACAAAUCCGUUUGUCCGUAAUUGGUAUACAGAAUUCUCAUUUUGAUUCAAAUUUUUAGGUGAAUGAAAAUUCCCCCAAUUACCCUUUUUUUCAAUUCAGCCUUGAAGGCCAGAUUGAAAAUUAAAUUUGGGUAGAAUAGAUUUAUUCGGAUUAAAUUUAACUUUUUUAAACUUAUUUUUUAAUUAAAACAUAAAUUUAAGUUUAAAAAAUUAUAUUUAUAAAUUUUAAUUUUAAUUUGAACUUAAAUUAAAAAUUAAAAUUCAAUCAAACAUUUCGAAUCUAAUUUAUAAAUUUGAAUUUAAAUUCAAAUUAAAUUUAAACCUAAAGUUUUAUUCAAAUUUCAUUUAAAAUUUUAAAUUAAAAUUUUGACAUAUAUUUUUAAUAUUUAUUUUUUAGUUUGAAUUUAAAUAAUAUAUUAUAAAGAUAAAAUUGACAUAUUAAUUUAAUUACGUUUCUGAUAUCUAUUUGAACUAAUUACCGACAAUAAAAAUGGUUCAUUCUGACUCAACUGAGGUGAGAAACCAAACAAAAUAAGAUAAUGAAUCUUUUCGAUUCCGUUUCCAGCUUAUUCUCCUUUCGAUUUCGAUACUGAUUCCGAUUUCGAACCAAACACACCCAAAAUAAUUCAAGGCACUAUGUGCUCGUUUUCGAUCAUUAUUUUAAGUCGAUUAUUCUACUA
rnacentral:lncRNA from 1 species